rnacentral:rRNA from 1 species
AGUAACACGUGGGCAACCUGCCUAUGAGACUGGGAUAACUCCGGGAAACCGGGGCUAAUACCGGAUAAUCCUUUUCUACACAUGUAGAAAAGCUGAAAGAUGGUUUCGGCUAUCACUCAUAGAUGGGCCCGCGGCGCAUUAGCUAGUUGGUGAGGUAACGGCUCACCAGGGCGACGAUGCGUAGCCGACCUGAGAGGGUGAUCGGCCACACUGGGACUGAGACACGGCCCAG